rnacentral:hammerhead_ribozyme from 1 species
AUUAGCUGAUGAGUCCCAAAUAGGACGAAACGCGCAUCCUGGAAU